rnacentral:rRNA from 1 species
UACGGAGGAUGCGAGCGUUAUCCGGAUUUAUUGGGUUUAAAGGGUGCGUAGGCGGGCUUUUAAGUCAGCGGUAAAAAUUCGGGGCUCAACCCCGUCCGGCCGUUGAAACUGGGGGCCUUGAGUGGGCGAGAAGAAGGCGGAAUGCGUGGUGUAGCGGUGAAAUGCAUAGAUAACACGCAGAACCCCGAUUGCGAAGGCAGCCUUCCGGCGCCCUACUGACGCUGAGGCACGAAAGUGCGGGGAUCGAACAGG